rnacentral:tRNA from 1 species
CGCGGGGUGGAGCAGUUCGGUAGCUCGUCGGGCUCAUAACCCGGAGGUCGCAGGUUCGAAUCCUGCCCCCGCAA